rnacentral:misc_RNA from 1 species
GAUGAAGAACGUAGCGAAAUGCGAUACUUGGUGUGAAUUGCAGAGUCCCGUGAACCAUCGAGUCUUUGAACGCAAGUUGCGCCCGAAGCCAUUAGGCCGAGGGCACGCCUGCCUGGGCGUCACACGUCGUUGCCCCCCCAUCUACUCCUUCGGGAUUGCGGGGGGCGGAUGAUGGCCUCCCGUGCGCCUCGUCGCGCGGUUGGCAUAAAUGCCAAGUCCUCGGCGACGCACGCCACGACAAUCGGUGGUUGCGAAACCUCGGUUGCCCGUCGUGUGCGGUCGUCGCGCAUCGAGGGCUCGAAAAAAUUGCCGGGCUCCGGCUCGGCUUUCAACGCGACCCCAGGUCAGGCGGGGUUACCCGCUGAAUUUAAGCAUAUCAAUAAGCGGAGGA